CACUAUCGUUAACUGAAUACAUAGGUUAACGAGGCGAACCGGGGGAACUGAAACAUCUAAGUACCCCGAGGAAAAGAAAUCAACCGAGAUUCCCCCAGUAGCGGCGAGCGAACGGGGAGCAGCCCGGAGUCUGAAUCAGCUUGUGUGUUAGUGGAAGCGUCUGGAAAGUCGCACGGUACAGGGUGACAGUCCCGUACACGAAAAUGCACAGGUUGUGAACUCGAAGAGUAGGGCGGGACACGUGGUAUCCUGUCUGAAUAUGGGGGGACCAUCCUCCAAGGCUAAAUACUCCUGACUGACCGAUAGUGAACCAGUACCGUGAGGGAAAGGCGAAAAGAACCCCGGCGAGGGGAGUGAAAAAGAACCUGAAACCGUGUACGUACAAGCAGUGGGAGCACCUUCGGGUGUGACUGCGUACCUUUUGUAUAAUGGGUCAGCGACUUAUAUUCUGUAGCAAGGUUAACCGUAUAGGGGAGCCGCAGGGAAACCGAGUCUUAACUGGGCGUUAAGUUGCAGGGUAUAGACCCGAAACCCGGUGAUCUAGCCAUGGGCAGGUUGAAGGUUGGGUAACACUAACUGGAGGACCGAACCGACUAAUGUUGAAAAAUUAGCGGAUGACCUGUGGCUGGGGGUGAAAGGCCAAUCAAACCGGGAGAUAGCUGGUUCUCCCCGAAAGCUAUUUAGGUAGCGCCUCGUGAACUCAUCUUCGGGGGUAGAGCACUGUUUCGGCUAGGGGGCCAUCCCGGCUUACCAACCCGAUGCAAACUACGAAUACCGAAGAAUGUUAUCACGGGAGACACACGGCGGGUGCUAACGUCCGUCGUGAAGAGGGAAACAACCCAGACCGCCAGCUAAGGUCCCAAAGUCAUGGUUAAGUGGGAAACGAUGUGGGAAGGCACAGACAGCCAGGAUGUUGGCUUAGAAGCAGCCAUCAUUUAAAGAAAGCGUAAUAGCUCACUGGUCGAGUCGGCCUGCGCGGAAGAUGUAACGGGGCUAAACCAUGCACCGAAGCUGCGGCAGCGACGCUUAUGUGUUGUUGGGUAGGGGAGCGUUCUGUAAGCCGUUGAAGGUGUGCUGUGAGGCAUGCUGGAGGUAUCAGAAGUGCGAAUGCUGACAUAAGUAACGAUAAAGCGGGUGAAAAGCCCGCUCGCCGGAAGACCAAGGGUUCCUGUCCAACGUUAAUCGGGGCAGGGUGAGUCGACCCCUAAGGCGAGGCCGAAAGGCGUAGUCGAUGGGAAACAGGUUAAUAUUCCUGUACUUGGUGUUACUGCGAAGGGGGGACGGAGAAGGCUAUGUCAGCCGGGCGACGGUUGUCCCGGUUUAAGCGUGUAGGUGUGUGUUCCAGGCAAAUCCGGUUCACUUUAACACUGAGGCGUGAUGACGAGGCACUACGGUGCUGAAGUGAUAAAUGCCCUGCUUCCAGGAAAAGCCUCUAAGCAUCAGGUAACACGAAAUCGUACCCCAAACCGACACAGGUGGUCAGGUAGAGAAUACCAAGGCGCUUGAGAGAACUCGGGUGAAGGAACUAGGCAAAAUGGUGCCGUAACUUCGGGAGAAGGCACGCUGAUAUGUAGGUGAAGU
rnacentral:rRNA from 1 species